rnacentral:rRNA from 1 species
CCCUUAGAUGUUCUGGGCCGCACGCGUGCUACACUGAGUGGAUCAGCGGGUCAGGUUGCGCGAAAGUGUUUCCUAGUCUUGAAAUCCGCUCGUGAUGGGGAUUGACGGUUGCAAUUUUCCGUCAUGAACGAGGAAUACCUUGUAAGCGCGGGUCAUCAUCCCGCGCUGAAUACGUCCCUGCCCUUUGUACACACCGCCCGUCGCUCCUACCGAUUGAGUGGUCCGGUGAGGCUUUGGGAUCUGAGCGGAAAGAGCGUUUCGCUGUUUCUGCUCGGAAAACUCAGUCGAACCUUAUCAUUUAGAGGAAGGAGAAGUCGUAACA